rnacentral:tRNA from 1 species
GGGGAUGUAGUUCAGUGGUAGAGCACUUGCCUAGCAUAUGUGAGGCCUUAGGUUCAAUUCCUAACACCACAA